rnacentral:rRNA from 1 species
AACAAACGCUGGCGGCGUGCCUAAUACAUGCAAGUCGAACGAGGAAAGCUUUCGGGUGAGUACUAGUGGCGCACGGGUGAGGAAUACAUGGGUAAUCUGCCCUCGAGUUGGGGAUAACCAGUCGAAAGAUUGGCUAAUACCGAAUAAGACCACAGGAUCUGCGGAUCUAGGGGUUAAAGGUUUUUCGCUUGAGGAUGAGCCCAUGCGGGAUUAGCUAGUUGGGGAGGGAUGGCUCACCAAGGCUACGAUCCCUAACUGGUCUUAGAGGAUGAUCAGUCACACUGGACCUGAGACACGGUCCAGACUCCUACGGGAGGCAGCAGUAGGGAAUAUUGAACAAUGGGGGAAACCUUGAUGCAGCGACGCCGCGUGAGUGAUGAAGGCCUUCGGGUCGUAAAGCUCUGUCGUAUGGGACUAACACAAUGAAGGUACCAUGCAAGAAAGGAUCGGCUAACUUCGUGCCAGCCGCCGCCGUAA